rnacentral:lncRNA from 1 species
ACCCACCCCGCCCUCCCAGCGGCGCGCGCCCGCCGAGAUUCUAGGUGGACACACAACUUGGAUAUCAACAGGGAGCAGAAAACAAACCCACUAGCAGGACCAAAAGGCAGACCCAUCAGCAGAACACAGGCGGCAGCUUCCACAAGUAACUCCAAAACUGAAAGUCAAAUCCAGGAGAAGACUGAGGAAGCUCCAUUUUCUUUGAGCACUUAAUUGUAAAUUAAGAUUUGCUGAUGAUGAUGGGCUAAUUUAAGCUACCGUGGAAAGAGGGAAGAAAUGGAAGCUGCUGAUCGUAGGAAGCAGUACCUGUACUGCGCAGGGUUGCAGUGACCUAACACCAAGAAAUAAAAACUCUGGAAAACUAGCCCUUCACAUAUGGAAGGUAUGAUUACCCCCGGGUAUGGGAGCCCCUGGGAGAACUUUCACUGGGUCCAUGGGUUUAACCUGAGGUGAGAAAGCAGCAGUCACCCAGGAAGGUGGUUGACUUUCAAGAGCACUUGGCAACAGUGAGGGAAGGCACAUGGGGAGUUGCGGGAUGAUGUCAGCAUGUAGUAAGAGGGGAACUCUGAAAUGUCCAAGGCCAGCCCAAGCAAACGGCGCUAUCUCCACGUGGUGCCCUGGUCUGGAGAGGGAAGGAAGAAGGCUAGGCUAUGUUUUGCCAAGCCAAGACUUAUCACAGAGGAAGCUUUCCUCAAUCCCUUCCACUGGUAGCAAAGGCCCUGGAUCCCUGUCUUCUGCCAAGAUGGUGCCAAAUAGCUCAACCAUACAAAGGAAAUGGAUAUAAAACUUAAUUGGGACCCAGAGACAUCUAAUCUCUAAGUUAAAGCACCACUCCUUUUACUCAUAACCAUUGGAGGCAUCCCAAAGUCUAGAAAAGCCGAAAUGACCCUCAAUUCAUAUUCUGGUGUUAUUUAACCCACGCCUCUGGGAGGCGCUCAAGAACAGGAUAAUUUAAUGUCAUUCUCAGCCUGAAAAGUUCCUUAGUUUUCUUUUAAUUAAAUCAGUAAUUAUUUUAAAUGCAUCAUUUCAACAAGAUACCAUAAGUUAGUUGAAUGAAUGCAUGUAAAACCAAAAUGUUGACUGGCAUAAUCCCCAAAUCGAAUUAAUAUUUUAAUCUUAGGUAUAACAUACUUUAUAUUUCAUACCUGGCACGUUCUUAAAUGUGUUAAAUGUGUUUUCCACAACUUGGCAUAACUAUACAUCCACUCAGUUUAUUGGGUGGGGAGGCAGAGAAGAGAACUUUGUUUAAAAACAAAACAAAACAGAACAAAAAACUAUGACUAAAGGAUAGAACUCUACAGCAGACAUUUAGUUUCUACAAUUGAUGCCAAAGGUAGAAGAGAUUUUGAGAGGAAAAAAAAAAAUAGAUGGAUAAUUUCUAAAACAUGUAAAGCAAAACAGCAAAUAUGCAAAUGCAAGGGAAAAAAUACACAACUAGCAGCAUGAAAACCCCAGGGAAACAAACAAGAACAUCAUUGUAAUUGAUAGUAAUUGAACCCCUGCUUAACCUUCCUCCCAAUACCUGAUAAUUCUGUGAAAUCACCCAGCUGUCACGCUUGUCCUUUUAGAAACAUGACAUUGAUUUGUCUAGCAAAGACCCAUCAUUAGAAUUCUGAGGUCUGCUUAAUGGGGCCACUAAUAAAUCUAAGUCAUCAAUUCUUGACCUUUUGUUUCCUGAAAUUCUCGGUAUGUGGUAAACUGCUGAAAACACAUUUUCAAGGUCUGUGACUGUAACAUGAAAAAUAAAGGAUCAAGGCUGCGCUUUGAAGGUCUGAUCAUAUCUGGGCUCUGCCCUGCCUGCACCCCCGAGGGAAAAUAAGUAAGAUGGAUUCGGAACAGCAUCUGGGGGUCAUAUCAAUACCCUCUUUUGGGCUGAGCUAUUUGCAAAUAAAAAUGGACUGUGUAAGACUGAACUACAAAGGGAGAUGUGCCAAGGAGCCAUUGCCCCUUCUUCUGCCUCUCCAUGUUCCCUUCUUCCCCCAUCUGCCUGGCUUUUUACUGCACUGAGAGAUCAGGAAAAAUUCCAGCCAAGAGAGUCUAAACUGGCUAUGCACACGAGGAAAAAGAGAGAGAGAGAGAUUAUCUAGUCUCAGUUUUGGUGACUUUGAAAUAAAAGGUUUGGGUUGGGGAGGGUCAGCUUUUUUUUCAAGGAACAGAAUCAUGGAAAUUUUUUCUUUUUCUGUAAAAGCGAAAUGCUUCUCAACCUUAUUUUUUGCUGGCUGGAUUGAGCUGGUUGUAACCUAAGACAAAAUGUGGGCAGGUGCCUUCAGCUUCCUCUAAAUUCUAAGAUGGCUGCAGGCACCAGAUUCUGACAGUGAUGUUGCUGAGAGUCUAGCCAUAAAGAUAUCUUUCCACACGGUUCUCUCUCCACGUCUGCCUAGAAGGACUAGCCUGCUGCUUCAUUUCCCCCCUCCUCUGCAGCCGAUUUCAGAUGGCUGCAGCAGAGAAAGCGAGACCCCCACACCUUGUUUGUGUGUACCCUUCCUUCCGCACCCCUCUGAGUGCAUUUGGGCUGUGUUGGGGUAACAUCAGGACAGGUGGUUGGCUGAGCUGAUCCUCUCAAAUAUUCAGGCAAACUGGUUGUUUAUAGACAAAACAUCCAGAUGCUUUUUCACGAUUGAACUUUUGACCAAAUUGAUUGUAUGCUUUGGUGUCAAGAAGACAAAAACCCAAGUCAAAAAGGUCCCCAGAACAGGACAUCUGCAGGCAAUGAAUAGUAGGAAGAAUUACAUAUUUCUAGCAGUGAAAAAUGUGAGUUUUUUAGAUUGUGCUAAAUGACUCGAUAUUGACCAGAGCAAAGCUACAAGUGAAAGAAUGGAUCUUUUUAAGGUUAUAUUGUUCCCAUUUAUUUGGCUUUGUGCUGCCAGAAAGUGGCUUGGAGGCUUGCUUUUUAGUGCUCUGUAAAAUGUAAAUGGUCUAAAUUAAGAAGCUAUCUAAUCUCAAACAAUAUUAAUUGUGACAUGAAAAAUGAGACCAAUUCUUCCGACGUUACAAUCACCACCACCUCACAUUAACUGAUCACCUCACUGUGUUUCUCAAAAGCCUGCAUAUUUUCCUUUUCCAAAGUGCCUAUUUUUAAGAGGAGACAAAAAUCCUCAAAUACUUUACUUAUUCUGAUGCUGAAAAUGUGGUCUCCUGAAGUGGGCUUCCUUUGGCCUCCAGGCUCUGCAAACCUCUACAUCUGAUUUGUCUCCCUCCCCCCCC